rnacentral:rRNA from 1 species
UACGAAGGGGGCUAGCGUUGCUCGGAAUCACUGGGCGUAAAGGGUGCGUAGGCGGGUCUUUAAGUCAGGGGUGAAAUCCUGGAGCUCAACUCCAGAACUGCCUUUGAUACUGAGGAUCUUGAGUUCGGGAGAGGUGAGUGGAACUGCGAGUGUAGAGGUGAAAUUCGUAGAUAUUCGCAAGAACACCAGUGGCGAAGGCGGCUCACUGGCCCGAUACUGACGCUGAGCACGAAAGCGUGGGAGCAAACAGGG